AGGGAUUCCCCUAGUAGCGGCGAGCGAAGCGGGAAGAGCUCAAAUUUAUAAUCUGGCACCUUCGGUGUCCGAGUUGUAAUCUCUAGAAAUGUUUUCCGCGCUGGACCGCACACAAGUCUGUUGGAAUACAGCGGCAUAGUGGUGAGACCCCCGUAUAUGGUGCGGAUGCCCAGCGCUUUGUGAUACAUUUUUUAAGAGUCGAGUUGUUUGGGAAUGCAGCUCAAAUUGGGUGGUAAAUUCCAUCUAAAGCUAAAUAUUGGCGAGAGACCGAUAGCGAACAAGUACCGUGAGGGAAAGAUGAAAAGCACUUUGGAAAGAGAGUUAACAGUACGUGAAAUUGUUGGAAGGGAAACGCUUGAAGUCAGACUUGCUUGCCGAGCAAUCGGUUUGCAGGCCAGCAUCAGUUUUCCGGGAUGGAUAAUGGUAGAGAGAAGGUAGCAGUUUCGGCUGUGUUAUAGCUCUCUACUGGAUACAUCUUGGGGGACUGAGGAACGCAGUGGCCUUCGGCGGGGGUUUCGACCUCUUCACACUUAGGAUGCUGGUGGAAUGGCUUUAAAC
rnacentral:rRNA from 1 species